rnacentral:tRNA from 1 species
CCGCCCAUAGCUCAGCUGGAUAGAGCACCAGGCUUCGAACCUGGGUGUCGGGGGUUCGAAUCCCUCUGGGCGGGCCA